UACGAAGGGUGCAAACGUUGCUCGGAAUUAUUGGGCGUAAAGCGCACGUAGGCGGCUUGGCAAGUCGGGUGUGAAAUCCCUCGGCUCAACCAAGGAAGUGCAUCCGAAACUGCCGAGCUUGAGUACUUAAGAGGAUCGCGGAAUUCCCGGUGUAGAGGUGAAAUUCGUAGAUAUCGGGAGGAACACCAGUGGCGAAGGCGGCGAUCUGGGAAGAUACUGACGCUGAGGUGCGAAAGCGUGGGGAGCAAACAGG
rnacentral:rRNA from 1 species